rnacentral:rRNA from 1 species
UACGUAGGGUGCAAGCGUUUGUCCGGAAUUAUUGGGCGUAAAGAGCUCGUAGGCGGUUUGUUGCGUCGGCUGUGAAAUCCCGAGGCUCAACCUCGGGUCUGCAGUCGAUACGAGCAAACUAGAGUGUUGCAGGGGGAGACUGGGAAUUCCUGGUGUAGCGGUGAAAUGCGCAGAUAUCAGGGAGGAACACCGGUGGGCGAAAGGCGGGGUCUCUGGGCAACAACUGACGCUGGAGGAAGCGAAAGCGUGGGGGAGCAAACAGG